rnacentral:rRNA from 1 species
GGCGAACGCUGGCGGCAGGCCUAACACAUGCAAGUCGAGCGCCCAGCAAUGGGAGCGGCAGACGGGUGAGUAACGCGUGGGGAUCUGCCCAAUGGUACGGAAUAACCCAGGGAAACUUGGACUAAUACCGUAUGUGCCCUUCGGGGGAAAGAUUUAUCGCCAUUGGAUGAACCCGCGUCGGAUUAGCUAGUUGGUGAGGUAAAGGCUCACCAAGGCGACGAUCCGUAGCUGGUCUGAGAGGAUGAUCAGCCACACUGGGACUGAGACACGGCCCAGACUCCUACGGGAGGCAGCGGUGGGGAAUAUUGGACAAUGGGCGCAAGCCUGAUCCAGCCAUGCCGCGUGUGUGAUGAAGGCCUUAGGGUUGUAAAGCACUUUCGCCGGUGAAGAUAAUGACGGUAACCGGAGAAGAAGCCCCGGCUAACUUCGUGCCAGCCGCCGCAGUAAUAC